UGUGUGUGUGUGUGUGUGUGUGUGUGUGUGUGUGUGUGUGUGUGUGUGUGUGCCUUUGUGUGUCAUCACGGUGAUCUCCUUUUUCUCCGUUUUUGUUGCGUUCACUUCAACAUCUUCCGCUGAUAGGAGCAAGGAGGUGAUGACAUGAUUGAAGCUGAAUGCAUGUAUGAGGAUGUUGGUCAGGGCAGUGCAAUAGCUAAUGCUGCCCUCACCGGCCACAUACAGCCUAACAGAUUAUCCAGUAUCAGCGGCAUGCCACCACCGUCUGUUCGAGCGCCGCCGGUCCCUGGAGCAGUUCAGGUGCCCGAGCCAGAGGAAGAAUGCCUCUAUGAAGAUCUUCCCAAUUAGCAUCACUGCAACGUACGGCGCAAUCAUCAAGUUUACGGCCUUGCACCGAUCAAGUAUCAGGUAUCUAUCCAAAGUUACCAGUUAGCAGAUGUGCUUGGAGGCAGACAUUUCGGAAUCAGCUUUCGUAACUGGACACUGCAGCCAGCGGCAGUACUCCAGUCCAGGGCUGCACUACUUGUGGCAUAGACUGUACUAGUGUUAAUCCACCACACGGUGUGUACUGAACGUGUGCCAUGAUGUGCUGACUUGACAGUUUAUAUGAUCAGCAACAUGCCCAUUAUUGUACCAGCUGAUCACACGACCAUGUACAGUGGUUAGUUAAAAGACUGUGUUAUAUAACAGAGAUCUAGUGGUGGCAGCCGUAGGAUGCCAUCAUUACAGAUACUGUGGCAGAAACGUGUUGUACCAUACCACCAUUACAAAUAGGUGCACCAGGCAUGUCCUUUUUGGCUUUUUGCAUGGAGCUCCACCGGCAGAUAGCUGCACUGCGUAGCUCAGUUCGGCAUUUAUAUUACAUCAUAUCUAUGUUGGCAUCAUGGUCCUUGUCUCAGCCUGGUGCUGCUCAGAGUCGUUUUGACGAGUACCUGUUAAUGGACACCUGUUAAUCUCCGGCAACUGUCCUGCUCGGAGAUAACAUGCAUGAGCUGGUCUCUACAUGCUAGAGGCAGACUCUCAUCAUUGCCAAACCAUUAUAUUUUUUGAUUCUUUACAGCAGUGGCAGCCUUUUGCUUGCGUAUUCCUUUAAAAAUAUGUUUUCCUCAAGUGCUGAAGUUCAGCUAAAACUUUCCAAAUUCUUAAAAAAGAAAGGUUGAUUCGUCAGCUGUUGACUCCAAGAACACUCAGUACUA